rnacentral:misc_RNA from 1 species
GAUGAAGAACGUAGCGAGAUGCGAUAAGUAAUGUGAAUUGCAGAAUUCAGUGAAUCAUCGAAUCUUUGAACGCACCUUGCGCCUUUUGGUAUUCCGAAAGGCACACCUGUUUGAGCGUCAUGAAUACCUCAAUCUCCAUCUUUUCUUCGGAUUGAUGGGUGACUUGGAUGUUGAGCCCUGCUGGUAUGCUAUAUCAGCUGGCUUUAAACUUAUUAGCCGGCUCUGUACUGGAUCGGUUUGACUCGACGUGAUAAUAUUAUCGUUGAGGAUGCAUGUCUCAUGCAGCCGGAAAGUAUCAAAGCAGCUUCUAGCUUGCCUUUAGUGCACUUUUACAUUUUAGACCUCAGAUCAGGUGGGACUACCCGCUGAACUUAAGCAUAUCAAUAAGCGGAGGA